UGAAGCUAAACAUACAGUGUUGCCAGUUGUGAUACUAGAGUACCAAAUUGAUACCCGAUUUUUUUUACUAGAUAUUUAUAUUUACUUGCAAACAAAUAAUAAUUUAUAUUCUCAGGCAAAUACACAUUAUGUGAAUGUUAAUAUAUUUUAUUUUGUUUUGUUUUGGUACGACCUAUCCACUCCUGUCGUUUGCAACAUUCUGGCAACGCUGUACACAUAUUUUUGAAGUACACAGAAAGUGAGGUUAGAACAGAUUAAAUUACAGAAAUGUUGACUACAAUUGUUAAAACCAUUACGAAACGACACACAUUUUUCAUAGCAACUAUUUCCUUAGAAACAAUCUCCCUACACGUCCAGGAUUCAAGAAAUAAACUUUUAUUUGUUUAGCUUCAAAGGUACAGUCACGUACCUUGCUGACGUCACACUAAUAGAGCGUAUUGUCUUUGUUAUUGCGAAAUUAGUAUUUGUUAAGUUUCAAUAAAUUUAAAAAUUACAUGAAAAUUACCAACAUUAAUUGACAAUGAAAUACAAAAUGUCAUAUCUAAAUACAGGUCUCCCACUAGAACUGGCACUGAAAGCACGCCCUUUCCUAUCUUCGAUCACAUCACGAUACAUGGCGCAGUCAGUAAUCUAAAUUAAAUCGCAGUCAGUAAAUUAAACUAAAUUAAAUUAAAAUGGGUGACAAUCGAGGAAUAGCUCCAAUGAGUACCACAGGAAACAACGCGGAAAAUUGGAGACUGUGGAAAGCAAGAUUUGAAAAUUAUCUAAUAGCAAGUGAAGUUUCCAAAAAAGACCAGGCAACACAGUGCGCUCAACUUCUUCAUUACAUCGGAGAGGAAGGAUUCAAAAUUUACACGACCUUCAUGUUCGAAGAAGAAGAAAAAAAUCAACUGCAGCCACUGUUGGAGAAAUUUGAAGCUCAUUUUUUGCCUAAGGAAAACCUGUCGUACGAACGUUAUAAAUUCUUCGCGUACAGACAACAACCACAGCAAAGCUUAGAACAAUUUAUCACGGAAUUGAAAAGCAGGGCGAUAUAUAUAUAUAGAUUCUCAAUUUGCAUUAGUACAGUAUAAUUACCCAGCUGCAAAACUCACAACCAUCUUUAUAAACUGUUAAUUUUGCUUAACCACUGAAUUACACUGUUCGAUAACAAGUGGAUUCUUGUAAAGCCGCCUUCUAAUUUAGUCAAUCGGCAGGGCGAUGAAAUGCAAGUUAGGAGACCUAAAGGAAGAACUCAUCAAAUCCAUGAUAAUAUGUGGGGUUAACAAUCCAAACGCCAACUUGAUGAGAGAAAAAUUGCUACAGCAUGACACAUUAAGUCUAGACAAAGCAAUAGAAUUAUGCACAAUUAUAGAAACCUCUAAAGAAAGAAGUGGAGCAAUCGAGGCGAGGGAGUCCGAAAGAAGUGUUGGAAUGGAAAUUGAAGAGGUUCGUGCCAAAAAGACGAGAAAACCUGCACCGACAGUUAUAACGACAACGUCAGCGAACGCCGUCGGUGGUAACGUAAAUAAAAUGAUUAAUAAUUGUAAAAAGUGUGGUACAAAUCAUGCUAUAAAUAAAUGUCCGGCAUUUGGUAAAAUCUGUAAUUGGUGUAAAAAAAGAAAUCAUUUUCAGUCAGUUUGUAAAAAUAAAAAUAGUGUCCAUGAAGUUAACGAGUCCGCAAUUAAAAAUAAUUUCUUUGUUGGUUCAAUAAAGUUAGGCGAAAUACGGCAGAAACAGGAACAAUGGUUCACAGAAUUGAUAAUAAAAAAUAAGUUUAUUAAAUUUAAAAAAGACUUAAAAGAAUUAGAAAUAAAUGCUAAAGUAUAUAUGUUCAAACAAAGCCAAAUGACGUAUGGAUUCCUGGAAUAAUUUUAGAAAAAUUCAGAAACAGAUGUUACAAGGUAAAAACAAAGAAUAAUUCAAUUCUAGUAAGAAAUAGAAAAUUUAUAAAACCGUUAAGCAAUUCUUUGUUUUCACCUCGAGAUAGUGUUGUUCGAAGUGAGAAAUACACGGAACAACCACUUGGGAAAUGUUACAUAGAAAUAGACGAUAAUAACACAGAUAAGGACAUACAUAACGAUGUCGUCAACAAUGAAAGGGAAGAAGAGAGAAUAGACAAUCCACGUGAUAGUGACAGUGAAAAUAGUGAAACAAGUGACAGUGAAACAACUGAAUCGAGUGAGUACGAAACAACAUCAGAAACAGAAAACAGAGAAAAUGUUGUUUCGUCAUUUGGUCGGCCAAUCAAGCGACCUAAAAGAUUAAGUUUAUAAUUCUUGUAGUUAAUAAUUAUUGUAAAAAAGGGGGAUGUACAGUUGGUUGCCUAUAUUGUAUUAGCUUGUAAAUAAAGUCAGUCUCCCACUAGAACUGGUAGUGCAAGCACGCCCUUUCCCAUCCUCGAUCACAUCACGUUACAACAGGUGUUUCACAGAACUCGCGCCCCAUAAAAAUGUACUCACAACGAAGCACUUUGCCAACAAUUCCAUCCAUGCAAGACUUAGGAUUACCUGAAAACACACUAGAAGAAAAUCUUUUGCGACUAGUGCCACUUAUCUUUGCUGAUUUUAUCGAAAAUAUUGGAAGAAACACAAGCGCAAAGGACGACAAUCGAGAAAUUGACGAAGCAGUUGCCCUUUUAAAUCGUGACCAAGUGGUAGCAUAUAAUGCAAUAGUAGCUGCUUUACAAGAGUACGAGUACAUUCAAACGGGUAUAACGUAUCUUUAUAACAUGUGACAAGAGAACGACCUACAUCGCUAUGGCGUGGCCUGGAAUGGCAGCAACAUUUCUAAACCGAUAUCUACGAUGCUUAAUGGAUAAGAAUUGAUAAGAAUUUUGGGGGCAAAAUUUUUGUGUUUGCCAUGUGCCAUUUCAAUAUAUUCAUGACUUUUAAAUUGUAAUGUUGUAUGCUUACUUAUCGAUUAUAGUAUUUGAUUUCUGUGUAAAAGACGAAUCUGUGUAGCAAGUAGAUCCUAAUGACAUGUUUAGAGCUAAAAUUCUUCAACAUUGCAAACGAAAAUCGCUGUAAUGCGACAUGCGAUAGAUGGACGAAAAAUUUUGAGGCGAUGGUAUAAAAGUUUCACUUUAAAACAUGAAAACUGACAGAAUGGCGAUUGAAAUGGUACAACGUAUAAUAAUCUUAAUCUAUCCUAAAUACUAUGUGUUUAAUCUAUCCUAAAUACUCAACGUGUCUUUACCUGUAAAAUAUGCUGUGCGGUGUAGGUAGUAUGUGUGUUGUGCAGAAUUGUGAAAAAAGUUGUUGACUGUCACACCUGCUGAUUUAGUUAUGUACCUGUGUUAUUCUCACCUGAGGAUGACCACUUUGUGGUUGAAACGCGUUAUGUUUAAAUAAAAGUUUGGUGUGACGGGCUAA